AUUGAACGCUGGCGGCAGGCUUAACACAUGCAAGUCGAGCGGGGGAAGGUAGCUUGCUACCGGACCUAGCGGCGGACGGGUGAGUAAUGCUUAGGAAUCUGCCUAUUAGUGGGGGACAACAUCUCGAAAGGGAUGCUAAUACCGCAUACGUCCUACGGGAGAAAGCAGGGGAUCUUCGGACCUUGCGCUAAUAGAUGAGCCUAAGUCGGAUUAGCUAGUUGGUGGGGUAAAGGCCUACCAAGGCGACGAUCUGUAGCGGGUCUGAGAGGAUGAUCCGCCACACUGGGACUGCGACACGGCCCAGACUCCUACGGGAGGCAGCAGUGGGGAAUAUUGGACAAUGGGGGGAACCCUGAUCCAGCCAUGCCGGGUGUGUGAAGAAGGCCUUAUGGGUGUAAAGCACUUUAAGCGAGGAGGAGGCUACUCUAGUUAAUACCUAGGGAUAGUGGACGUUACUCGCAGAAUAAGCACCGGCUAACUCUGUGCCAGCAGCCGCCGUAA
rnacentral:rRNA from 1 species